CCCUGUUUCAUAAAAACAAAUAAUAAUAAUAAAAUAGAAUAAAAUUUGUGUGAUGCAUAACAUGCAUACAUGAAUGACUAUGAUGCCUUGGUGUCUAGAAAAACAUGUAUAGUUCAAUUUAGGUGUGAAAUAUGGCUAAAAAUCCCUGCUUCGAUGAGUCUCAACUUUACAAAGACCUGCUUCAAAAUGAUCCCAGAGCCAUCAUCUUAAAGGAUCUUUUUCGAGUCAGGUAAGAAGGCAGAGAAGACAGAAAGAAGGUGGAGCCAGGACACCCAGCAGGCACUGCGAUAAGCAGACUAUAAUUCGGCUCCUGGCAAUUUGCCUCUUUGUGCAAUUUGCACAACAAGCUUCCCGCUGAAGACAGUGGCGGUGCAGUCCAAAGCCUGAGCUCAAGGGAUCGUUGUGAGGAAUCAGAACCCGCUGACUGAGGAAGUAAGGAGGGCGGGGCGUCCGCAGAGAGUGACAGGAGCUGGGGAAGAGGAGAGGAAGACGGCGUGAGCUGAACCUCGUCAACACCAGCCAACCAUCCCAGAUGGGGACCGAUCGUAAUCUCGAGAAAGACCCAGAGCAGUCAGAACCUACCCAGCUACGGGGACGGCCGGCUGGAGCUAAUUAUAAGGACGACCUCCCGUCACCUAGGUAACCGGUU